rnacentral:tRNA from 1 species
GCUCUCGUAGCUCAAUCAGAAGAGUGUCCGGCUGUCGACCGGGAGGUUGGGGGUGCAAGUCCCCUCGGGAGCG